UGCCCCUGUCACCCACACUGUGUUGUUCAUUUCUGAGAGAAGCAGCCAGGAGCUGGCAAUGCACAAUAUCUCUUACAUUUUGAAAUCCCUCCACACAGAAGGCCUACCUGCUGUUGAAGGAAGAUGAAACUCAUCCCUUUGGGGAGUGGGCAGGAUGGGGGAGAUCCACCCACUCUUUCGGAAGUGCAGGGGACUACUAAGGAGCAUCACUGGGGUCAGUGACACCAGGUGUGCCGACGAGCCCCCAUGUGCGCCUUUCGAAAAGGGGGCCUGGUCUCAUGGAAAGAAGGCUAACAGUUGCCAGCCAGCCCCUGGUCCCAUCCAAAUCAGGACAGAUGGGACUUAAGCAUCACCUACAGGCAGAUAUCUCUACAUAAACAGCCGUGUUUUUCAGUUGUGAAGGACAUCCAGCAUUUGCUUUCCCACAGGUAGACUAUAUACAUUUCAUCAGGUACUUGAAGCCCUGCUGCUCACCCUGUUUGAUCCAGCCAGAGGCUCCCCCGCGCCCGCAGCCUUUCAAUCAGGCACAGGCGGCUGCAAGCUGAACUCUCCUCGAUCGCUCAUGUCCGCACUUAACUUCUAAUGAAAAACAAACGUAGUGUGACCAACGAGGGACAUUUCUCACAUCUCCAGGGGAGGAGGAUGGUCAUGGCAUGCUGACUCCAGCACCAGCCUGAUGGAGCAGAGACCCCUCCCUUAUCGACAAAAGGCCAGAGACAGCGACAGAGAUACCGAACCUCCGGGCUUUGUCUGUCCCUUUGCCUGAGUGUUUGUUUUACUACCCUGUCUUUCUCUUCAUGUCCUAGCAUCUCUGUGUUUACUGGAGAAUUGCAGCAAUGCCUGUUCCACUUGUCUAGUAUGGUAUGAACAAAUCUUUUCUUUUCCACGGUAAAGCAUUUAAUCUUAGCUCAUCUGGUGAAGAGGCCUGUGCUCUCUUGAAAACAUACAGUAUGCACAAGCACGCAAGGAUGAUUUGUUGAUGUCUCACCGUAAUGCUUAGCAGACAAGCAAGUGAGAUAAAGUUGUGGUCCAGGUGGGUUCUAGACACUAGAUCGACAGUGUCUAGUUAGACAGAAAAUAGGUCAACCCCAUAUGGUCGACAUGCAAAAGGUUGACUUGGUCAAAAGAUUGACUGUGUCUAAGGUCGACAUGACAAUGGUCGACACACAAAGUGAAGACAACAUUUUUUUUUAAAACUUUCUCUUUAUUUACUAUCCACAUGGACAAUGACUGCAAUAGUAACCUGUGGCGAGCACAGCGGUAGUAGAGCGAAGUGUGGAGAGCGAAGCAAGCCUCACAAGGGUACAUAGUAUGCUAGUUGUGGUCACAUAUUAUGACACAUACAAAAAGACACCUAAAAUGACCUUUUGACUGUUGACCUUUUGCAUGUCGACCAUAUGGGAUUGACCUAUUGACUAUCUGUUUACUGUAGAUGUAUUGAUCCACACCCAUCAAGGCAGCCACACUACUGCUCAUGUAUUUGCAGGCAUUAAACUCUUUGUAACUUAUCCAUGCUGGACAUCAAUCAUGGUCUGCUGGUGACAAUACAAUGUUACUUACUCCUUCUGGAAAUUCCCUAUAAUGCUUUUGGGUGGUUGGCUAACAUCACGAGGCACAUAGACAGUUUGACUAAAUAUGCUGAAAUAGGCAGAUUGUAUUUGCCUGUAUAUAUGUUUAUGGAAUAUACCGUCACACUCAAAUUAUAUGCUAAGUACCAAUCUCCUUAUUGCAGUAAAGUUAAAUAGAAAGGAGAACUAUAAAAUAGAGAUGAGGGAAAAAAAAUAUAAUUGCUGCCAUCAUAAUAAGCCCCACAAAACUUGUUUUACAUAAAGAUAUAACUAGCAUCUCAUAAAAGAGAUGUUCAGCUUAGAAGCACAGAAGGGGAAGCAGCGGUAAUGAGAUUGGUCUGGUGUUCAGUGGAAGAUGAAUGAUAUGAGAACAUGGAAAGUGCAUUGUUCUACAAACAAAUAUGUUAGUGGGCUCAGUUGCUAUUAGUUUUCAUUUAUAUGCCUGUUAGUUUUGUUUUCUCUGAAUGUCAGUGAGCAGCAAUGUAAGAAAGAAAUAAUCCCUGUUAAUGUGACCACAUAUAACACUGCAAUUGUCUCAUUUGUAAAAUAAUUGAACUUAGAACGUGUCCUAGAAUUACCUCAACAUUUUAAAGUUUAUAUUUCAGCUGGUGGAGGACCUUAAACAGAAUGGAUGACCUGCUUCAUUCAUCAAUGCAGGCAUGAGAGAUCACAUAUAUACUGAUUAUACAGGAUAAAUUGUAACCUACAGUACGUUACAUAAUCUUGUAGUCAUUUGGAACAAAGAGGAAAACAAGUACAGUACAUCACCAUAGCUCCCAACAUUGGUUGUCAGUGGAUCGCAAAUGCAAAGGGACG